GCCGGAGUGGCGAAAUGGCAUACGCAGCGCACUCAAAAUGCGCCGGGGCAACCCAUGGGGGUUCGAAUCCCCCCUCCGGCA
rnacentral:tRNA from 1 species